rnacentral:lncRNA from 1 species
UGAAGUUAAUUGCAAACCAUGCCUGCUUUUCCUGCUUAAUCUGCAUGCAUCUGUUUGUGUUUUUAUAUAUUUUACUUCUUUGGAUGAUUCUUCAGUUCUACCUGCAGUACACCAUGUCUUCAUAAUUAAGUUUGAUGUCAUGAGCUCAAGAUAUAUCUCCAAUUCUAUCAAAUAUGAGGUCUCAGUACCGUAUAGAUAAUGACCUUUCUUAGUCAUCCUAGUCUGAAAACUGCUCCUGUUAUACUCUUGUGGAAAUCUUCAACCCUUUUGGCAUGUAUCACCAAUUAUGCCUCAGUGAUCUCUCCGGUCUUCUGUCACCGGUGAUUCAGUUUCAGUUAGAUUUUGCAAACUAAACUUUUGCAUCGUCCUGUUAUUGAAGUGGGAAGCAACUUAAAAACCUGGGAAGCAACUUAAAAACCUGUUUUUUCACUCUUAGGAAGGAAAUUUAAAUCAAAAUCCUGCUAUAUUGAAAAGGUUUGCGUCUUUUAAAGUUUAACUAUAUUGAAUUAUUUUAGAUAAAUUAUUUAUCCUAUCUCCCAGAUUAGCAAGCUAAAUGCAAAAAAAAAAAAAGGUUCACAUCAUUCUUGGCAUGCACUUUGCUCAUGUUGUGUGAUGAGUAAAUAGAAUUUGAUUUUGGAGUGUCAGGGUUCAGGCUGUUCCUGUUGAUAAUUAGCUUAUUGCAUUAUCUUCAAAUCAUGGGCAUUUUCAAG